UGACUGGUACAAAGCAUGCUGCUGGAAGAUUGUUGUUGCGGAACCAAGCACCUUGCUCAACCCUCUUACAAUUUAGCAUUUCAAAUGCAACAUUUAUGUGCUGCCAAUGUAACAAUAUAGUUAGAAACUCCAUAUAGAACUGCUAUAACAUGGACAUCUAACAUAGCUCAACUCAACCUCUUCCUAAACAUAUGACACAAUCAAAUAUCCACAAAGCAU
rnacentral:lncRNA from 1 species